GGCUGGUAAGCUGAGGGGAAAAAGAAGACUUUUUUUGAAACAUAAAUUAUACAUUUUUUUGCAAUGUUUUUGGAAGGUAUGAAUUGGAUAUUGCAUAAUAUGGCACUUUUAACCACUGCAUACAACUAGCACACAUAUUCUAACAUCUUUCGUUCACCAUUUAAUAUAAUUACAUGGACAACACAUAGCUCAACUUACUUGUUUGUUGCACUAGAAUGGCCUGCAAGAAGUUGACAGCAUCAUAACACUUGGACUUAUCUGUAAUGGCUGACAAGCUGAAAAUAGGAUGAGAUAACAAUUUAGGAACAGGGCUUGAAAAUAACGGCCAGACGUCAGACAAUGUCCGGCCAGAACGGGACUUGUCCAGUCAAAUAUAAUUGCCUCACAAGUCGUUUUGACCAGUAAGGUUUGCCAGAAUGAGGUAUGACUGAGCUAUUUACUUCAAUAUCCAUAUAGCAACAAGGUGAGUCCACAUUCUUAUGAAGGUCACAGGGUCAUCACCAGGUUACCACAUCAUUAAUUAGGUCAAUACUCAUAAAUUAACAAGGUGAGUCCAUAUUGCUAUCAAAGUCUUUUUCUUUUGUUUUAAUGCAGUUAAUCCAUUAUUACAAGAUAGAUAYUGGACUAUUCCAUGAUAAGCUUGCUGGUUGGUGUGUAUAUAUAUUGGCUAUCAGCCUCAGAUGUCAGGUAUGAACAGCCGCCAUCUUGUUCAAGCUCACUGGAAAGUUUUAUGGAGUAUUUUUCGUGUAAUCAGUAUUUCUAUAGCUGCAAUACAAAAACAUAAGUCAUUGAGACAUUAAUAUUUCGGAUUUUGGUGGUUCUAAUGAGGUAGGAAUGUCUUGAAACUUACACGAACCAAGUUCCGUGUAACAUUCAAACCCAAAGUUUCAAAAAAUGUUAAAAUAUGAAAAUAUUCUUAAGGUAAGUUUACAUACUGUUUGAAAACUUCAUGAAACAUUGUUAUUUGUUAUCAAUUUUAUCAUUUCUUUUCAGAAAAGGUGGAUUUUUCAGGUUUCAAAGUUAGCACGUGUCAUGGCGGACGAAGCCGAUGAAACGAACAUUCGAAGUUUUUUAAACUGGUCAAAAAUACAGAAAAACGAAAGAAAAACGCAGAAAAAACGAAAUAACUCUUACCUUUCAUAGUUCUCGUGUGCUUCUCUCUCUGUUAGGUCAAGCACGAGCUAAUAACCAUCUUUGUUCUUGUACAAUUUCAGCCUAAAAGCCCAUCGUGUUUUGCACCCGUUGAAACACAUCCACAACGAACAGCAGCGUGCAACAAAUGAAGAGGUGACAUGCACAGGGACUGGAUACUAGCAUUUUACACAGGGAUCCCGCAAAAACCGGACUUUUUGGCGA